rnacentral:lncRNA from 1 species
AUCAACUAUACUGGAGGUCAACUAUAUUGGAGGUCAUCCAUCUCAACUAUACUGGAGGUCAUCCACCUCAAUUAUACUGUAGAUCAACUAUACUGGAGGUCAACUAUACUGGAGGUCAUCCACCUCAAUUAUACUGUAGAUCAACUAUACUGGAGGUCAACUAUACUGGAGGUCAUCCACCUCAAUUAUACUGUAGAUCAACUAUACUGGAGGUCAACUAUACUGGAGGUCAUCCAUCUCAACUAUACUGGAGGUCAUCCAUCUCAACUAUACUGGAGGUCAACUAUACUGGAGGUCAUCCAUCUCAACUAUACUGGAGGUCAUCCAUCUCAACUAUACUGGAGGUCAUCUACCUCAAUUAUACUGGAGAUCAACUAUACUAGAGGUCAUCCACCUCAACUAUACCGGAGGUCAUCCAAAUACUGGAGGGCAACUAUACUGGAGGUCAUCCACCUCAACUAUACUGGAGUACAUCCAUCUCAACUAUACAGGAGGUCAACUAUACUGGAGGUCAUCCACCUCAACUAUACUGGGGGUCAUCCAUCUCAACUAUACUGGAGGUCUUCCAUCUCAAGUAUACUGAAGGUCAUCCACCUCAACUAUACUGGAGGUCAUCCAUCUCAACUAUACUGGAGGUCAUCCACCUCAACUAUACCGGAGGUUAUCCAUCUCAACUAUACUGGAGGUCAACUAUACUGGAGGUCAUCCACCUCAACUAUACUGGGGGUCAUCCAUCUCAACUAUACUGGAGGUCUUCCAUCUCAACUAUACUGGAGGUCAUCCAUCUCAACUAUACUGGAGGUCAUUCAUCUCAACUAUACUGGAGGUCAACUAUACUGGAGGUCAUCCAUCUCAACUAUACUGGAGGUCAUCCAUCUCAACUAUACUGGAGAUCAUCCAUCUCAACUAUACUGGAGGUCAACUAUACUGGAGGUCAUCCACCUAAACUAUACUGGAGGUCAUCCACCUAAACUAUACUGGAGGUCAUCCAUCUCAAUUAUACUGGAGGUCAACUAUACUGGAGGUCAACUAUACUUGAGGUCAUCCAUCUCAACUACACUGGAGGUCAUCCAUCUCAAAUAUACUGGAGGAAAUACCAUGUCUCAGCCUCCAGUAUUUAUGCUGCAUUAG